GCUGCAGAGAAACACGUCUCCUUUAGGCCAGCACAGCAUUUCCUGCCCAACAAACAGUCUGUUCUUGCAGCAUGCAGAAUGAGAGACAGCCAGGAGGGCACGGAGAGCUUCAAGUAGUGCUCCUCCUGCCCCACCUCUCCCCUCAGUGCUGUCAGAGGCAGAGGGAGGGAGCAGGAGGGACUGGCCCUGAGAGCAGUGCCAGAGGCACAGGCAGGGCAGGUGUGGGCAGAGCUGUUGUGCAGGCAGAGAGAAGGUGGAGAGAGGCGAGCCAGAGCGGCCUGGCCAUGUGGAGUGCCCUGUGCGUGGGCUUAUUGCCCGUUGUAGCCAUCUCGCUCGCUGGUGCAGCCACCUUGUUGCAGCCCAAAGAACUGACCGUGACAGAGGGAAACACAGUCACCAUCCUAUGCAUCAUGGAGGGGAAUUCUAUGUGGUACUACACCAUGUCGUGGUACCGUCAGGGCCCAAGCCGCGCUCAGGAAUGGAUUUACACGGAGGAUGGUACCUAUGGAGAAGGUUUCCAGGAUCGCUUUAAGGUAAAAGAUCAGAGAAUCCGGAGAAGAUUCCCACUACAGAUCCUGGCAGCAAAGCAAGAGGAUGCAGCAACGUAUUAUUGCAGAGCAAAAUCACCCUGAAGCAGCUCUGCAGCAGAAUGGAUCAAAAACUGCCAGAUAGGGAAGACAGAUAUCUCAGCAUUUCUUUCUAGCAGCUGCUCCUCAGGGCUCUUGUCAGGCAAUGGCAGGUGUAGGAAACAUCCCUCUGGCUUGGUGGCACUAAAAGGCAGUGGAGGGAGGGCUGGGAGAAGGGCUGCUGCCAUUUAUGGUGCAGGAGGAUCUGUUCUGGCAACUGUUCAGGCUGUUUGGGCAAGUGCAGCUUUAGUGCACGUUGCCUGGGCUCCUGUCCAGCACGGCCUCAUUUUUGCUCUGUGCCUUGGCUGCAGAGCCAUGGGAUGAUGGAGAUGUGUUGCUGUAGCUGCCAGAGUGCUGUAGUGGAUGUAGCCAGGCUGUUUAUCAAAGGCAGAUCAGCAGGGAUGACAUUGCUCUGGGUGGCUGCUGCAGAGCACCUGAUGAGGAAGAAUGAGUUGAGAAGUUGUGGUGAGAUGAUUUUGAUUGUCCUGCAGGAGCUCAGCAAGCUGUUCUCUCAGUGCCCCUCCUCAAAUAAGCAGGAGGAAAACAUGCAAUUAAGGCUUUUGGGUUGAGAUAAGGACAGAGAGCUGUCCUUGCAGUGCCACCAUGGGCAAACACAUGGACUUGGAGAAAUUAAUUUAAGUUUUUGUGAAUCAAAUCAGAAUAGGAUAAGGAGAAAAAAAGUACAAAUCUAAAAAAAUCUAAUCUGCCCAGUCAUUGAACAGGGAUGGGGAAUGAAACUGUCAGUUCAUAGCACAUUUUGUCUGCCACUUCUUCCCUCUCAUUCCCUUCCCCUGCCUGAGUGAGGAGUCCACCCCACAAAAUACAUUUCUCCAGGAAUUUUUCAACUUUGGUUCUUUGCAUUGUCUGCAGUUCUUCACAAACUCCUGCAUUGUGGGUCUGUAGUUCACAGUGCAGUCCUUCAGGAACAGACUGCUUCAGUGUGGGUACCUGCAGCUUGUCCCAGAAAAGCUGCUCUGACAUGGGCUACUUAUUCCAUGAGACCACAGCUCCUGUCAGGAGCCAGCUACAACAUGAAUUGUGCAUGGAGUCUGAGAUCUGCUCAGGACAUAUCCAGUUACUUCUGUCUGGGGAACCCUAUGGGCUGAAGGGUCAAUAUUUGUUCCACCAUCACUUGACAUCUCCUGCAUCAUCCGGACCUUCAGCGUGGGCAGCAGGGUCAUCUCUGCUCUGGCCUCUGCUGCACCUCCCAGCCCUCCUGCCUCAGGGACACUGAGCACGGCUGUGGGAAGUGGGAAUCUUGCUUAGCCACGUUUACUGCGUUCUACAGUGAGACAGAGGGUCAGAGUGGGUAUGAAGGUGGAAGUUGUGCAUUCUUCAUUCAGUUGUGCGCACAGCACUGACUUCCUUGGGAGCCCUCUGGACAAUGUCCUUUGUAAUGGACUAGAAAACAGCUCAGUUACAUGGAUCUGU